UGAGGGAUAUUGCACAAUGGGCGAAAGCCUGAUGCAGCGACGCCGCGUGGGGGAUGAAGGCCUUCGGGUUGUAAACUUCUUUUGCUCUGAACAAGGCAUGCUAAUGGGUGUGUUGAGUGUAGGGGUUGAUUAGCGCCGGCUAACUACGUGCCAGCAGCCGCGGUAAUACGUAGGGCGCGAGCGUUGUCCGGAAUUAUUGGGCGUAAAGGGCUUGUAGGUGGCUGGUUGCGUCUGUCGUGAAAGCUCAUGGCUUAACUGUGGGUUUGCGGUGGGUACGGGCUGGCUUGAGUGCAGUAGGGGAGGCUGGAAUUCCUGGUGUAGCGGUGGAAUGCGCAGAUAUCAGGAGGAAUACCGGUGGCGAAGGCGGGUCUCUGGGCUGUUACUGACACUGAGGAGCGAAAGCAUGGGGAGCGAACAGG
rnacentral:rRNA from 1 species